GGGGGCCAAAUGGACAUUCGCCGGCCUUGGCAUCGUUGGUUACAUUACAGAUUUACAGGUGUCAGCGAGCGAGCGAGCAUCCGGUCCCUUCGUCUACGGCCGGCCUCACCAAAUUGAGAAGGAUGUGUGCGUGCCAAGGUUUCCUGGUCUCGUGUUCUUCAGGUCCCGCGUGGAACCCGACUUUGGCUCGGACCACACGAGCUUUCGGCAGGUGGGAGCCAUGGAGCGUGCCGCCAUUGUUGCCCGGCGGCCGACACUAGGAUAGGCAGUUCGUGCUCAGGAUGCAGCGCGUGCAGGCAUGUAGGGUCUGAAGGGAUAAAAAAAAGGAAAAUUCCACCAUGUUUGGAAUAUACUCACGAAAAUGAUAGGUGACAAGUGUAGUUACGAGGAAGGCAAAACUCAUCAUUUGCUUCAUAAUCUUGGGCUAAAUACUUCCGACAAAAAGUACACUAUGAUUAGAUGUCCUUGUCAACAAUGAAGAUACUUUUCUAGCGUCGUCAUUGUUGUUGCUAAGUUUUUCAUUCAAGAUUUGUACAUAUGCCCUAUGUAGAUGUAGUACAUGCAAUCUAUUGCAGAUUUGUUGGUUGGUCUAUGAGAUAGAUCGAUCAUGUACAAUGCUAGCGUAAAGUUUAGUGAUUGGUGUACCGUGAUCAUAAUGUUGGUUGGACAAUUUCAAAGAGCGGAGUUGUCAUGGUUAACU